rnacentral:lncRNA from 10 species
AUUUACUGCGGCUCUGAAGCCCGGCCCGUUUCGCCCGCCGGGCCCCGCGGGGUGACUCCCCCCACGAUUGCGGUCCCCCGCCCUCCGCCCGGCCGCCGCUGGCGGACCCCAAAGUCGGGGCGAGUCUCCAAACCGGGGAGCCGGCCCCGCCCCCACGCCGCGGCGGCGCCCUCCCUUCCCCCUCCCCGCCGCCCGCCUCUCCCCCUCCCCCCUCCAUAACUCAAAAGCCUGUCAAGCUGGUUCCAGACUCCUGGCGCCGGGCUCCGCUCCAGGAAAGAAAAAAAGGAAAGAGAAAAAGGGAAAAAGCCGGCGCGAGGGAGCGAGAGAGGCCCGCGGAGCAAAACCGUGCGCCCCGGCACGCACAGCCCCGCGGCCCCCGACCCCCCACGCCCCUAACCCUAACGGGGAUCCCAGUCCUAGGGACACCGGGCGCGUGCGCGACCCCAAUCAGUUAUUUAUGGGCGAAUUAAUUAUGUAGCUGCCAUGGGCGGGGGGGCCGGCAGGGGCCAUGCGACGCGGAGACCACCCGGCCGCGGUGGCGGCUCUCCUGCCGGGCCUCGGGGUCGGGAGGCGUCCCCACGCCGCCCGGGGAGGAUCCCGUUGUGAGAAAGCUGCCUCGGGGUGGGGUCCGGGAGGAGCGCGGGGGAACCUGAGGAAGCGGGAGAGACGGCUCGGAGACCUCCCAAUUAGACUGGGAGGGGAGAGGGGGGCGGGCGACGGAGCUGGAAAGAGCGGGCCGCGGAGACCGGGGCGUGGGAAGAGCCUGGCCUAGGCAUUUCUUCCCUUCCUUCCUUCCUUCAUCCCCAUCCUUACUGCGAGCCCACUACGUGCCACUGCGCCCACAGCAGAGGGCGGUAUUAGGGAGGGGUUAGGAGCAGGAAGGAAUUUCGAGGUACAGCUGGGUCCAAAUCCGGAUUUGUAUCCUAUACUCCCCUGCUGUGUGGCCUUAGGCAACGGCUUGCCCUCUCGGAGCCUCCACUUCCUCAUCUGCCAGUGGUCUUCAGGACUUGGGAGAUGGGGCGCUUGGGCAGAGAGUUUGUGGGGGCGCGGUCGAAGGGAGGUCCUGUCCUUGGGAAACUUUACAUAGAGGGGAACAUGCCCAGUCCCCCAGUAUUCCCCAUCUCGAAGCCCCGACUUUGGGUCUCAUAUAAUCUGCCUCUCCCCGGGGCCCACACAUUUGAAGGUCGUUAUUAAAACCACACCACCCCCAAGGCCACUGCUCAGGACGCUCACCCCUAGCUGGCUUCUCACCAGCCUGGCCCUGCAGAAGGUCGUGCAUAUGGCAGCCAGAGGGGCUCAAUCUAGUCCUUUUACUCCCCACCUCCGCUGCCUCCCCCGACUCUGCCCUUCACAUCCCCACCUGGGUUCUCCUUCCAACCUGCUUCUAGUCUGGGCUAGGGAGAUUGGAGCCCUGAGGCCAUGGGGGCUACGGGGCAGUGAGAACAGGGGUGGGGGCUCAGCUGGCCCUCCCUGGACAAGUGUCCCCCUUAUCUGGAGUGUCAAGGCGUUCUACUUCCAAGACUCAGAAGUGAAGGAGGCUUCCGUUUGCGACCCAGGAUUGCCUAGGGGUUUGCCUGUCUUCUUUCACCAAAACUUGCAAUAACUCUGUUAGGUGAAUGGGGCAGAUCCAGGUUUUAUGGGGCCUGAAGGUUUUACAAUCCUGGGGACCCACUUGAAGAAGAAUAGUGCAAAGUUAUGAAUAGGCGGUUAAGCUCAGGGCCUUGGUAAAUGACAGUCCCAGGAGCUAAAGCUUCAUUAGCCCCUCGGUAACUCACCUCUGUAGAUGGACAACACAACUGUCAUCCCUUUGCAGAGGUGGAAACAAAGCUUAGGCUGGCCCAAGGUCACAACAGGUAGAAAGGACAAGCUGGGAUCAAACCCAGGUCCCACCCCACAGGCAGCACCCUGAACUAACUGCCUCAGUAGGAAUGCCACCUUCCAUAUCAUCUACCCCAUGCCACAUCUCACCUGUCCCCACCAGUGCCCAGCCCAGGCAGGGUCAGUCAGAACAGCCUUUGCUUCCAGAACAGUCUGUGUCCCUCCCUCCAGAGGCCUCCAUGUCCCAAGGCUCAAGCCUCAGAGAUACUGUCUUGUGACAACACUCACAGAUCUAGUAAGUAGGUCUCUUCUAAACUUUUGAUUCCAGCAAUGGUAACCUGCUCACUCCAGAACUCCAGCUCCCCCGUCCACCUGGAGGGAGCGCACCCCUGUUCCCCGGUGGGCUCCCUGGUGUUCGGGGCUGGAUCUGUUUUAUUUGGCUCAGUAUUCCCCGCUCUUGACGCAGUACAGACAUACAGCCGACAGAGUGACUGUAGCAGUAACAUCUAUUCCCAACCUCGUGGAACAGGAUGUUGUUAAACUGCGGAUUCCCGGGCCCCCCUCAGAUUCUACUGAAUCAGACUCUCUGUGCACAGGGCCGGGGACUUGGCAUUUUACAAGCUCUUUUGGGUGCAUCUUAACCAUAGUAAAGUUCGAGACCACGGACCUACGGCCAGAAAGGACCAAAUGGUUGUGUCUAGACCAAGGCCUUCUCACCAGGGGGAGUUAUCUCCCCUAAAUCCGACCGAUUUCACCAGUUCCCCAGGCUCUUCUGGCUGAGAUCAAAUUAUUUCACUUAUCAGGCCAGGCACAGUGGGUCAUGCCUGUAAUUCCAGCACUUUGGGAGGCUGAGGUGGGUGUGUCACUUGAGGUCAGGAGUUCAAGACUAGUCUGGCCAACAUGGCAAAACCCCGUCUCUACUAAAAACACAAAAAUUAGCUGGGUGUGGUGGUGGGCGCCUGUAAUCCCAGCUACUCAGGAGGCUGAGGCAUGAGAAUCGCUUGAACCCGGGAGGUGGAGGUUGCAGUGAGCCAAGGUCGUGCCACUGCACCCCAGCCUGGGUGACAGAGCAAGACUCAAAAACAGCAACAAAAAUUAUUUCAUGUAUCAAAGACCUACUGCCUGCCCGGGACUGGGUCUGAGGCCUUAGAGAAUUGACCUCAUAGGAUACUCGCAAAAGCUCUGAGAAGUAGGGAGAAUUAUUGUCCCCAUUUUACAGAUGGAAUCUGAGGCCUGGAGAAGCAAAGUGGCUUUGUGGAAGGGAUACGGUGCUGGGGAAUGAGGAGGCUGGGAUGGGAGCUGAACUCACACCCUUAACUCCUUCCUUCCACUGCCCACAAGGCCACUGAUCCGAGGGCUGUAACUCGCAAGGGUCCUUCAGUAACAUCCGGAGAUGAGAGUUUACACACCAGCCUGUGAGCGGCUUUGAGAAAUUAAACACGCUACAGAGUCACUACAGGGACCUCAUGCUAAGACGCGCAACAAAAUUAGGCGACAGGCCCCAAAGAAAUCUAAUCAAGUAGGCCUCUUCUCCUCCGUAUCUUUGGAGUCGGUGUUCAGGGGAAUGUGUGUUUGCGGAAGGAUUUGAUGUAUUUGCUUCAGGCAAAUCUUUGCCUUUUUCUCUGCCUGCAGUUCUGUGCUAGGCAGCAAGAAAGCUCCACAGCUGGUGGCCAGUGCUGCAGGCCAGCGUGGCUCCCUGGGCUUCUCUGUAGGGCUGUGUUAUCACGCUUCCCCGGGUCCGGUGCUCUGUGCAAACGUAGCCUCUUUCCUGCUCCAGGAUGGGCAAGGCACAGGGGAGGUUUCAGGUGGAGAGAAAUUGAUUUAGUGGCCACUGCUUCUGAGGCUGGAGGACCUGCCUGAGGCAGAGGGUGUGGACUUGUUCUGGGAGGACCCAGAAGGCAGAACCACGGAAGGCUACCAAGGGAGGAAAACAGGCAUCGGAGAAGGGAAGAGAUACCUCAAGGUCAACGCCAAGUCCAGCAGCUGCUGCUCUCCUGAGUCCUCCACGUGGACUUCUUCUGCGUUCCCACAUCUCAUUCCUCCAAUUUUUUUUUAAAAAUUGUUAGUAGUAGCAUAAUACUAAGAAAGCACUAUUCAAAGGAACAAGAAGACCCACCGUGUGCGGAACGGUCACUGUGCACCAGGCAACGUGACCCGCAAUUUUCUCUCCUAUAAAACGGGGAUGAGAACAGGGCCUCCCCUGCUGACUCAUGGGAAGAGGUUAAGAUCAAAGGUGACAGUGGACAUGAAUCAGCAUUUUAUAAACCACAAGACAUUGUCACCAUGGCUAUCUUUGGUUUUUAUUAUUUAUUUUUUAAUUUUUUAAUUUUUAUUUUUUGAGAGCAGGGUCUCACUCUGUUACCCAGGCUGCAGUGCAGUGGUGCAAUCAUGGCUCUCUGCAGGCUCAAAUCCUGGGCUCAAGCAAUCCUCCACUCAGCCUCCUGAGUAGGUGGGACUAUAGGUGUGUGCCACCUUGCUAUUAAAUUACCUGGCUAUGGCCGGGCACAGUGGCUCACACCUGUAAUCCCAACACUUUGGGAGGCUGAGGCGGGUGGAUCACUUGAGGUCAGGAGUUCAAGACCAGCCUGGCCAACCCCGUCUCUACUGAAAAUACAAAAAUUAGCUGGGCAUGGUGGCACAUGCCUGUAAUCUCAGCUGCUAGAGAGGCUGAGACACAAGAAUUGCUUGAACUUGGGAGGCAGAGGUUGCAGUGGGUCGAGAUUGCCCCACUGCACUCCAGCCUGGGUGACAGAGCGGGACCCUGUCUCCAAAA